GAGGAGCAGAGGGAGAGGUACAAGCAGCCUCUGCACUCUUGAGUGGGAAGCCCAUAGUGGGGUCUGACAUGGGUCAGUCUCACGACCCUGAGAUCAUGAUCUGAGUUGAAAUCAAGAGUUGGAUGCUUAACCACCUAAGCCACCCAGGUGCCCUGUUUUAAGUUAAAAAAAAAAAAAAGGCAAAUAAACAAACAAAACCUUUGUAAAAUAUUCUUGGAAUUUUCCAGUCUAUAAAUGGUUAAUGUAGAAAAAAAAAAAUCAGUGGUUAUUAGGUACAGUUUUCUUAUUGUAGCUUUAUUGAUUGGUAGUUUGAAAGUCUAAAAAAUAGAGAAAAAUUCUGAGUUUUUGUGUUUGGGGUCGAAUGUUAUGAUAUUAUCUCUCUUAAAAUAUGUUUUUCUUUAUCCAUAAUAUGGAGGAACCAAAAAAAUGCAUUAAAACUUGGAUGUGAACUUUUGCAAACGUGUGGAACAAAUUAAGAUGGCAGAGCAGAAGAAAAUGGAGCUGAAAUGAAAUCUACCUCUCAAAGCAGGCCUGUUUAUAUUUCACUAUAUUUGCUAUUAUAAAUUUAUUUCCAUCUAUUUCUUUGCUAGGAAUGAUAAAUGGCUGCCCACCAACUUCUGACUCUUAGGCAACUCUGUUUUACUAAUAAACUGUUCGUUUUGAUCCUGUAAAUGCUAUGCACAAGCCCCUAAAACAAGUGCACCAUUCCAGAUCCCCAUCAACCUAUUAUUAAGCUACUGUUUCUUCUACUGUGUCUUUGCUUGAUUCCAAACCCUUUCUUCUACACUUCACCUCAGGUUUGGCCUUUGGAUCUUUUUAUUUGAUGCUUAUUUUUGGCCUCCUGGCACUGGCCUCUGUGCUCAAUCUGAUGAUCUUUGGUUUAAACUCACCUUGUACUUCCAAGCUGCCAAGAUUUAUACCCUUUGAUUCUAGCAGUUGGAAUUCCUAGCACACCUACUGGCUGCUGCCUCAAGGAGACCAGUCCCAAAUACUAGCCUCAUAUUAUAAACAUCCAUUUAUUCAUCUGUUUAACAGAUUUCAUUCAUCAGUACUAUGUGUAAGCCACCAGAGUAGUUUCUGGAGGAAUAUAGAAGAUUACUAAGUGAUAGAAGGCUCUUAAAAUCUGGUAGGACAAAUAAACAAGUAUAUAGUGAUAAUUUAAGAUAGUAUGUGUUCAACUCUUACGAAGUAUUAUUAAAUUCAAGACAUCAAUUAGCAAAAACUUCAAAUAGAUUUCUUUUCUUCUUUUCUUUUUUUCUUCUUUCAGUAGGCUUCAUGCCCAGCAUGGAACCCAAUGAAGGCUUGAACUCACAACCCUGAGCUCAAGACUGAGCUGAGAUCAAGAGUCAGACCCUUUACUGACUGAGCAACCCCAGCACUCAAAAGCUUCAAAUAGAAAGAUUCUAACCAGGGAGUUAGGGAUAUAGGGUUCAAGGGAACAUUACAAAAAGAACUUGAGGUGGUGGGUCAUGGACUUAAAAAGAUUGAGAAUACUGACAGGUUAAGUUAACAGACUUGAAGGUAGAGUAGGAUAAAUACCAUGGGAGAAAGGCAUUCCAAAAAGUAGAACCAAAGCAAUCGGAACAGAAAAAGAAAGUUAUGUUUAAAAAAGUCUUAGCUAGAUUGGUUGAGGGUAUAAGUAGAAAUGGAAGAAAGCCUAAAGAACCUGGUUGGAACCAGAGUAUGGAAGGUUUUGAGUACGGAGAAUUUAGAAUUGGCAAACAUAUACUGAGGAGUCAGAAGGUUUUUAGCAAGAAAUGAUAACUGGCUUGAUUUAACAGUGGUAUGGAGGAAGGAGUUGGUAGUGAGGAUUUUUUUUUGUUUGCAUCAAGUUUUUUGUUUUUUGUUUUUUAAAGGUAGGCAGAGACUGCAGACCAGGAAAUCAAUUAGGAGACUAUAACAGUAAUCUAAAGUAGGGAGGACCUAGAGAUAAAGACUUUAUUAAUUUCAUUAAGCUCCUGCGGCACCCGGGUGGCUCAGUGGGUUAAGCCUCCACCUUUGGCUCAAGUCAAGAUCUCAGGAUCCUGGGAUUGAGCCCUGCAUUGGGCUAUCCGCUCAGCGAGGAGUCUGCUCCCCUCCCGCCCCCACUGCUCUGCCUACUUGUGAUGUGUGUCAAAUAAAUAAGUAAAGUCUAAAAAAAAAAAUUCAUUAAGCUCCUGCUAUGACAGAGCUGCUGGUGAUGCAGUGAGGGCUAGGUCCUUGUCAGGUGGGGCUUUUCAAUCUAGUGAGACAUUGAUCUCUUAAAGGCUCCUAGAGGUGUGUCUAUUUUGCAACCACUUCUGACAUUUGCCUGGUUACUAAGCAAUAGGUCCUCAUUUAACAAUGAGAUGUAUUUCCUACCUUCUAAAACUACUUUACAUUUUAUGAGUCUGUUAAGGAAAAAGUAUCCCAUCCACUUGCACGUGAAGAAAAGCAAUUUAUUACUUAAAACAAGAUAAGACAGGAACACUACCAGACAAGGCAAAGAAGAAAAUGACAUGUGUUUUAAAGAGAUAACUGAAGACGAUGUGGAGAAUGAAUUGGAGGUUAGAUUAGGGGCAAGAAAACCUAAGAGGUUGUUGUAGUAAUCCACCUACUUGAUUGUGAGGGCCUAAACAAAGACAGAAUGAAAGAAGAGCAAUUGGUGGUGGUUAUUUCCACCGUAAUCCUUUCCAUCCCUGCCCUGGUUCAACUAAAAGAUGGGUAGGGGACUCUCAUUUGGAAUUAAAUUUUUUUUUUUUUUUUGGUCGGGGAGAGAAAGGGGAGGGACAGAGGGAGAAGGAAAGAGAGCCUCAAGCAGACUCCUUGCUGAGUGUGGAGCUAGAUACCUGGUUUGAUCCCAGGACCAUGAAAUCGUGACCAGCCAAAAUCAAGAGUGGGAUGCUCAACUGACAGAGCCACCAGAUGUCCUUGGAAUUGAAUCUUGAACAGAGGGACUCAAGAAGACAAGAAACACUGUCUACUUUUUCAGAUAUAGAGGUGACCAUGCUUUGGGAUUUUCAUAGUUUGAGUUAAUUCCUCUGGGCUCCGCCACCCAACAAGUUAAACAGGACAAGAUUCCUCCCAGAGAAUUGUGGUUCUGGGAAUGUGAGCAGCUUGUUUUCAGGAGAUCUGCACCCUGACCUGGCCUACUGUUAGGAGCUGUCGUGUUGUUCUUAGUUGUUUUUUUCUGUCUUACAUAGUUAUUUGUAUAUAAACAUUUUUGCAAAGUAAAUGUUUUACGGGGAUAUUUUGCUUACACAAAGAAAAAUUAAAACUAUCUUGAAGUAAUUA